rnacentral:tRNA from 1 species
AGGGUUGUGGCUCAAUGGUAUAGCACGUGCCUAGCAUGUGUGAGGCCCUGAGUUCAAUUCUCAGCACCUCAU